AUCUCAGUAGCGCAGUGGUUAGUGCACAGUCCCGGAGAGUUUGAGACGCGGGUUCGAUUCCUGCCUAAGAUG
rnacentral:tRNA from 1 species